rnacentral:rRNA from 1 species
CCUACGGGGGGCUGCAGUAAGGAAUAUUGGUCAAUGCCCGCAAGGGUGAACCAGCCAUUCCGCGUGGAGGAUGAAGGCCCUAUGGGUUGUAAACUUCUUUUAGAUGGGAAGAAAAUGCUAGAUGUAUCUGGUACUGACGGUACCAUCAGAAUAAGCACCGGCUAACUCCGUGCCAGCAGCCGCGGUAAUACGGAGGGUGCGAGCGUUAUCCGGAAUUACUGGGUUUAAAGGGUGCGUAGGCGGAUGAUUAAGUCUAAGGUGAAAGUUUGUCGCUUAACGAUAAAAUUGCCUUGGAUACUGGUUAUCUUGAAUAAGGAUGAGGAUGGCGGAAUGUGGCAUGUAGCGGUGAAAUGCAUAGAUAUGCCAUAGAACACCAAUUGCGAAGGCAGCUAUCUGGUCUUUUAUUGACGCUGAGGCACGAAAGCGUGGGGAUCGAACAGGAUUAGAUACCCCUGUAGUC